AGUGAACGCUGGCGGCGUGCUUAAUACAUGCAAGUCGAACGGAGACGUUAUAGCAAUAUGAUGUCUUAGUGGCGAACGGGUGAGUAACGCGUUGGUGACCUGCCCCGAAGUGGGGGAUAACAGCUCGAAAGGGCUGCUAAUACCCCAUGUGGUCGCGAAGGUUAGAGGCUUUGCGAUUAAAGGAGCAAUCCGCUUUGGGAGGGGCCUGCGUCCCAUCAGCUAGUUGGUAGGGUAAAAGCCUACCAAGGCGACGACGGGUAGGGGGCCUGAGAGGGUGACCCCCCACACUGGCACUGAAACACGGGCCAGACACCUACGGGUGGCAGCAGUAGGGAAUAUUGCACAAUGGGCGAAAGCCUGAUGCAGCAACGCCGCGUGCGCGAUGAAGGCCUUCGGGUCGUAAAGCGCUUUUCGGGGAGAUGAGGAAGGACAGUAUCCCCGGAAUAAGGUUCGGCUAACUACGUGCCAGCCGCCGCAGUAACAC
rnacentral:rRNA from 1 species